CUGUGAGCUGGGCCUUGCACUAGAUUCAGUUAUAGAAACAGGUUAGACCAGGUGCUUGCUCCUGUGGACCUUAUUUUCUAAUGAAGGACACAAAGAACAAGACUAAAGAUAUAUCAGAGGUAUGAGAAAGUGGUCAUUGCUGCAAAGAACAACAAAAUAUUCACAACAGCUGAAUGCUGUCAUAGAUGGCCUGCCCAGGGGCAGUGGCCUGUAAGCCCCCCAAGGCAGCCUGUAGGAGCAGGUGCUGUUUCAGCUGAGACUUGGAUGAGUGGAUGGUGAUGUCCAAGGACACAUCUGGGGAAGAGAAUUCCAGGGAGAGGGAACUGCAAGUACAGAAGCUUGAGGACAGAUGGCACUGGCAAGCGUUCCCCUUUCCUCAGAGGUUUUUUGGUUUUAUGAUUUUUUUUUUUUUUUGGAACAGGGUCUUGCUCUGUCGCCCCAGCUGGAGUGCAGUGGUGCCAUCUUGGCUCACUGCACCCUCUGCCUCCUGAGUUCAAGCGAUCCUCCUGCCUCAGCCUUUCCAGUAGCCGAGAUUACAGGCGCACACCACCACGCCCAGCUAUAUUUUUGUAUUUUUGGUAGAGACAGAGUUUCGCCAUGUUGCUCAGGCUGGUCUCGAACUCCUGGGGUCAAGUGAUCCGCCCACCUUGGCCUCCCAAAGUGCUGGGAUUAUAGGCAUGAACUACCACGACUAGCCUCAGAGUUUUAUUGAAAUAAUUUACAAAUAACUUAUCACCCAAGCAUCUUCUACUUAGUAUUACCAUAUUAAUCUUCCCAGAAACCAGUUCCAAUUUAUUGAACAUGUUUACAUACAUUUUUUAAUUUUUUACCCAGCUUUACUAAGGUAAAUUGACAAAUAAAAAUUAUAUUUAUUUAUGGUUUAUAUGUUUUGAUGUAUAUAUGCAUUCUGAAAUGAUUAAUUCAAGCUAAUUAACACACCAUCAUCUCACACACUUGUUUUUUUUGUGAUAAGAACAUUUAAGAUCUCAUUGUUUAGCAACUUUCAGGAAAUGUUCAAUAAAAUAUGAAUGAAAAACAAUUCUACACCAGUUCCUAAAUGACGG
rnacentral:lncRNA from 1 species